rnacentral:tRNA from 1 species
GGGCGUGUAGCUCAGAUGGUAGAGCACUUGACUUUUAAUCAAGUUGUCCGGGGUUCGAUUCCCCGCACGCUCA